rnacentral:rRNA from 1 species
CAGCCGCCGCGGGAAUACAGAGGGUGCGAGCGUUAAUCGGAUUUACUGGUCGUAAAGCGUGCGUAGGCGGCUUUUUAAGUCGGAUGUGAAAUCCCUGAGCUUAACUUAGGAAUUGCAUUCGAUACUGGGAAGCUAGAGUAUGGGAGAGGAUGGUAGAAUUCCAGGUGUAGCGGUGAAAUGCGUAGAGAUCUGGAGGAAUACCGAUGGCGAAGGCAUCCAUCUGGCCUAAUACUGACGCUGAGGUACGAAAGCAUGGGGAGCAAACAGGAUUAGAUACCCCUGUAGUCCCUGUCUCUUAUAC